AAGAAAUAAAACGACCACGACCGAGGAACGUCGUCAGUCCAAGGUAGAUGACCACAGGGUUCAUCCUCGUCCCUACACCGGAAAUCAGGAAACUCCAGCAUGGGCUGGAAAGGAAAUUCCUGAGGUUGGACAGAAACUGAACUCUUCUUCAGACUCUCCUACCUCAUCCAAUCCCUUUGCUGUGUUGGUUUCUCUAGAGUUGCAAGAUGAACAGAGACUUGUUGGUGAUGAUAACAUGGACAAGCCGCCUUCUGAUGGAGACCGAGCUUCAGAUGCUUGCAUCCCUCAGGACAGUCAGGGUAGAAAGGAUAUGGAACACCCUGGGUCAGAUGACGAAAAGAGCCAAAUUGAGGUAGUUGAGCAGGAAUACGAGAGGAGUUCUGCACCUCUGACUGUUCAGCCGCUUGCUGUUGUGACUGACAACAACGCUGUGCUAACUUUGACUGGGACGACAGGACCCAUUUCUCGUACACGAGGGCGUCCGAAAGGGGCUAUCACCAAGAAGGGGAGAGUUUCUGAUUCUCUAUCAAGCACAGGCUCCUUCGUAUCAUAAUCAAUGGCAUGUCUUCGGAUUUCCAAAACUCAGCACGCCGUGACGAUAUGCAUGGCCCAGGUCUUGACACUUCUUCGCCUGUGGAGUUCCUGAAUAAAGUGAAGUAUGCUCAGUCUCGAGGACAUAUACUGCAAAACUUUGUGAUCAACUCCUCUAACUCUACCGAUGCAGCCCAUGCUAUGUCGGUUGUGGCCUCUUCAAAAAUGAAGAAAAAAUGGGGCGAUAUGUUGGACGAUGAAGAGGACGAUUUAGACGAGGACGACCCUCUUAAAAUGUUCUCUUAGUCUUGGUUUGUUUUUUGGUUACCCGGGGUUUCUUGCGGGUGCUUUUGCUUGCUUCCUCUGUAUCUGGUCUCUCUUUUUUUCUUUUUCUUUUUAAUAAAAUUUCUAUUUCAGCA
rnacentral:lncRNA from 1 species